rnacentral:rRNA from 1 species
GGGUGCGUAACGCGUAUGCAACCUACCUUAUACAGGGGGAUAGCCCGAAGAAAUUCGGAUUAAUACCCCAUAGCACUAUAGAUUCGCAUGAUGAAGUAGUUAAAGAUUUAUCGGUAUAAGAUGGGCAUGCGUUAGAUUAGCUAGUUGGUAAGGUAAAGGCUUACCAAGGCGACGAUCUAUAGGGGUUCUGAGAGGAAGAUCCCCCACACUGGCACUGAGAUACGGGCCAGACUCCUACGGGAGGCAGCAGUAGGGAAUAUUGGUCAAUGGAGGCAACUCUGAACCAGCCAUGCCGCGUGUAGGAAGAAUGCCUUCUGGGUUGUAAACUACUUUUAUAUAGGAAGAAAAAGCCAUGCGUGGUCAUAUGACGGUACCUAAUGAAUAAGCACCGGCUAACUCCGUGCCAGCAGCCGCGGUAAUACGGAGGGUGCAAGCGUUGUCCGGAUUUAUUGGGUUUAAAGGGUGCGUAGGCGGCCCUAUAAGUCAGUGGUGAAAUUCGAUAGCUCAACUAUCGG